rnacentral:rRNA from 1 species
UGGGGAAUAUUGCACAAUGGGCGGAAGCCUGAUGCAGCGACGCCGCGUGGGGGAUGACGGUCUUCGGAUUGUAAACCCCUUUCAGUAGGGACGAAGCGAGAGUGACGGUACCUGCAGAAGAAGCACCGGCCAACUACGUGCCAGCAGCCGCGGUAAUACGUAGGGUGCGAGCGUUGUCCGGAAUUACUGGGCGUAAAGAGCUCGUAGGCGGUUUGUCACGUCGUCUGUGAAAUCCUCCAGCUCAACUGGGGGCGUGCAGGCGAUACGGGCUGACUUGAGUACUACAGGGGAGACUGGAAUUCCUGGUGUAGCGGUGAAAUGCGCAGAUAUCAGGAGGAACACCGGUGGCGAAGGCGGGUCUCUGGGUAGUAACUGACGCUGAGGAGCGAAAGCAUGGGGAGCAAACAGG